GCUUCACCUUGAGCCCAGCCUACCCUCCUGUGAAUUUCAGAGGAGCCCGGUCAGUCUUACAAUCAUGUGAGCUGAUCCCUUGCAAUACAACUACCUCCAACUGGUUCUGUGUCCCUGGCUGAACCCUGAAGAAACUAUGAGUUCUCCAGAAGUCUCGGGUUCACCUCCUACCAUCUACGUCCACCCCCCACCAUCACGAGUGCCAGGAAGGAAGAACUGACCCAGUAGCUCCUAAGGACCAACUCUUCCCAGAUCUGUCCCUGACACCUGCAAUCAUGUGAAGCCGCUUGGGAACACACAUCUUCCAGAAGUGAUACUCUCCUGUCCCCUUUCAUCACUCUUUGAAGACUGUCAAGACCAAGAUGAACAUAAUGAGGGACAACUAAAUAAAUAAAACAUGCCUCAAGACUUGAUAAAAAAUAUUAGUUAGCAGCAAAUAGGAAUCAUCCCAGGCUUGAUAUAAUAUCUUAAUCACACUCCAUUGUAAAUUACAAGCCUUCUGGUGGAAUAAUUAAACGCUUGCCCUUAAAAGAG